CAAUGGGUCUUUAUUCCAGGAAGUAACUUCUUGCUUUCACUUACAUUUCUCCUCAGCAGUGGCAUACAGGAACAGGCUUUACAUGAGGACAGACGUGAUCUCGUCUUUAUUGCGUUUAAUACAUAUAAAAUACAAACACUGGCAAAAGAAAACGUGAAUCAGGUAAGAGUGAGGGGCUGGAGAAGCACUGUGUUCAGAAGGAGCUUGGCUAACAGUGCCCUGGAGAGAGUAAGUCUGUGAUCUGAACGAGAUGGAAAAGAAGCAAAGGAUGGCAGCUAACUUCACCGUGUCAGUGGAAGAGGUCUCCUGCCCAGUGUGCCACGACAUAUUCACUCACCCCGUUAUCCUGCCGUGUAGCCACAGCUUGUGUAAGGGCUGCUUCGAGCAGUGCUGGGCGGCCAGCUUUCGGAAAUGCCCGCUGUGUAAGAGGCCGUGUGCCCCCGGGACCGAUCUCCCCGUUAACCUGGCUCUGAAGAACCUCUGUGAGCGGUUCCACCUGGAGCAGGAGGCCGGGCCUGGCCCAGAGGUGCACUGCGCUCUGCACGGAGAGAAGAUUAAGCUCUUCUGCCUGGAGGAUAAUCAGCCGAUAUGCGUCGACUGUGUGCCUGGCCUGCACGACCGUCAUAAAUGCUGCCACUUAGCGGUAGCAGCGCACGACCAUAAGAUGAAGAUGCAGGCUGCAUUGAAGCCCUUACAGGACAAGCUGGAAAAUUUCAAUAAAAUCAGUAAAACUACAUAUCAAAAACAGCAGCACAUCAAGAGCCAGGUUCAGCGCACAGAGAAGCGGAUAAGAGAGGAGUUUCAGGAGCUGCACCAGUUUCUACACCAGGAAGAAGCAGCCAGGAUCGCAGCCCUAAGAGCAGAGGAGGCAGAGAGGAGUCAGACUCUGAGCAGGAAGAUGGAGGAAGUGGUCAGAAAGAUGGAGGCCCUUUCAACCACAAUCAAAGCCGUAGAGCAGGAGAUGGGGAAAGAUGAUGCCUCAUUCCUACAGUUUGUCACACUGAUAUAAAGCCCUCAGCUGCUCUAAUUCUUGGAUGUCACGGCAGAACUCAGUGCACAGUUCAGGACCCUGAUGUCUCAGGAGUACAGAUCGACGUGGCCAAACACCUGGGGAACCUGAAGUUGCACAUCUUGAAGACGAUGAUGGGGAUGGCGAAGUACUCUCCUGUGAUUCUGGACCCCAACACAGCCGAUCCCUCGCUCAUAUUGUCUCAGGAUCUGACCAGCGUGGAAAAGGGCAAAGAAAUGUACUGCCAAUAUGUUUAUCUUUUUGGGUCAGAAGGAUUCAGCUCAGGGAAACACCAGUGGGAUGUGGAAAUUAGGCGAUGCACUGUGAUAGAUAUAGGUAUUGCCAGUGCCCAUCUCAAAGAGAGGGAGUCUCAAAGAGAGGGAUGUACAAAUGAUUAUGAACAAAGCCACAUCUGUUAUUUACAAUACCAGGGUAUUUGUGAUUGUUUAGACGAAAAAUCUGUACGCAAGGGAAUGGCCAAGUUUAGAGUGCUUGUGGACUGUGAUCAAAAAACUCUGUCAUUAUUUGAUGUCUACGGCAACAAAACUCACAGAACUAAAAGUAUCACUCUCACAGGGAUACUCUUUCCAGUAUUUCGCUUUGUAUGCAUUGAUGCGGAACUUGACCUUCUGAAGAUCGUGCCUGCCACGGUCAAGGUCAUGGUGGAGAAGAGAGUUCAGUGACUGAAUAUUCAUGCUUCUCUAAAGCUGGUGGUUUACAGAUGAGAUAUCUGAAAAAGGGUGUGUCAACAUUAAUUUUUCCUUGAAAUAAAGACUUUAGUCACUAUCUUCUGAGUGGACAGGAACAACUCUUAAACACAUCUCCCCAGCCAGGUAAUCUCUGGGGAUUAAAACCGAUGGGUUUCUUGACUACAUAUAGAUGAUGAUUUCUGCUUGGAGGAAACACUUAUUUCCUCUAAGAUGUUCUCUGUGAUUAUCUUCCUGCCAUAAUUUAUGAGAAAAAAGUGUGUCAAACAUUUUACGAAUUUAUAUUAUCUGUGAUCCUAUUUAUUUUUUAAAUACAGGCAUCUUAUUUUGUUUAUAUAAAGGGAAAAAAAGUUAUUUGGGGUUGUGAAGAUGUGUCCAGUGUAUUCGUAUGUAUUAUAGGAGGGUUCAUUAGGUUAGGGGAGUAGUUGUUAAAAUCACUACAAUGUAUUUUAAUGUUUAAGCUCCACAAGUUCUCUGUCAUAUAGUGGUAGGACUAUAAUGUUUAACCGUUGUUAUGAUCUAUUCAUCCUUGUUGUGUUUUGAGCAAAAGUAUAUUUUAUUUGAAUUAUAUCCUCAAUAAAGGGCUCAGUUUUGUAUUUUACUAUA